CGCAGGGUAGAGCAGUGGUAGCUCGUCAGUCUGACUUACUGAAAGUCGCAAGUUCGAUUCUUGCCCCUGCAA
rnacentral:tRNA from 1 species